rnacentral:rRNA from 1 species
AGUGAACGCUGGCGGUAGGCCUAACACAUGCAAGUCGAACGGCAGCACAGUAAGAGCUUGCUCUUACGGGUGGCGAGUGGCGGACGGGUGAGGAAUACAUCGGAAUCUACUUUUUCGUGGGGGAUAACGUAGGGAAACUUACGCUAAUACCGCAUACGACCUACGGGUGAAAGCAGGGGAUCUUCGGACCUUGCGCGAUUGAAUGAGCCGAUGUCGGAUUAGCUAGUUGGCGGGGUAAAGGCACACCAAGGCGACGAUCCGUAGCUGGUCUGAGAGGAUGAUCGGCCACACUGGAACUGAGACACGGUCCAGACUCCUACGGGAGGCAGCAGUGGGGAAUAUUGGACAAUGGGCGCAAGCCUGAUCCAGCCAUACCGCGUGAGUGAAGAAGGCCUUCGGGUUGUAAAGCCCUUUUGUUGGGAAAGAAAAGCAGCAGGUUAAUACCCCGCUGUUCUGGCGGUACCCAAAGAAUAAGCACCGGCUAACUUCGUG